rnacentral:rRNA from 1 species
GACGAACGCUGGCGGCGUGCUUAACACAUGCAAGUCGAACGAAGAGCGAUGGAAGCUUGCUUCUAUCAAUCUUAGUGGCGAACGGGUGAGUAACGCGUAAUCAACCUGCCCUUCAGAGGGGGACAACAGUUGGAAACGACUGCUAAUACCGCAUACGAUCCAAUCUCGGCAUCGGGACUGGAUGAAAGGUGGCCUCUAUUUAUAAGCUAUCACUGAAGGAGGGGAUUGCGUCUGAUUAGCUAGUUGGAGGGGUAACGGCCCACCAAGGCGAUGAUCAGUAGCCGGUCUGAGAGGAUGAACGGCCACAUUGGGACUGAGACACGGCCCAGACUCCUACGGGAGGCAGCAGUGGGGAAUCUUCCGCAAUGGACGAAAGUCUGACGGAGCAACGCCGCGUGAGUGAUGACGGCCUUCGGGUUGUAAAGCUCUGUUAAUCGGGACGAAUGGUUCUUGUGCGAAUAGUGCGAGGAUUUGACGGUACUGGAAUAGAAAGCCACGGCUAACUACGUG